CAUGGAGACUUAAAAUUAAAUUUCAAGCAGGAAAGGGAAAAUUUUACCUUUUUUGGCAGUCCGCGGUGGCUCUAGUGCAACGGUGGCUGGUGGUCAGUCUUCUUCUUUGGCAUUUGGUUCUUAUUCUCCGGUGAGGGCUAGUGAGGCUAGAGUUAGGGUUCCCUAGAAUGCAAUGCUUAAAUACCCACCCCGUGUCAAU
rnacentral:lncRNA from 1 species